UUUCAGGAACUUUGGUGAAAAAAUCAAGACGUGGUGAAUUAGGUUGUUGGAGGUGACUCGAAUCUGAUCGAUAAAGAUUUAUAAAGGCAUGUCCACGUUGGAUGAGGACGUACGAGAUGCUGUAUUGGCAGUCCUACCUGGGCUAUCAGAGGAGAAACUAGUGUCUCUUUUGAACAAAUUGGCAAGCAUAGGAGUUGAAUCCAAAUCUGACUUGCAGUUUGUUAAAGAGGACGAUCUUCCUGAUCACAUCACACCAAUACAGUGUCGUCGGCUCCUCAAUGCAUGGAAUAUAGAAGACAAAACAGUUUGUGCCAAAGUAUCACCUUUAGAAUCCACAAACAUAGUCUUUGAUGUAUCACCAGUAAACUCACCAUCUUCAAAUUUCAGUUCCUCACGUACACCAAGUGUCUCUAGCACAAACAGCUCCAGUUCAACUGUCGAUUUAACUGUAUGGCCUGAAAACUUUGAAGUUCCAUGGAAUCGGAUGUCUUCUGGUAUUAAAACUGCCACUGCACUGGGUAGACGCCCCACAGCUAAAGAACGCAGAGAAAUGGUGAGAAUCAUUGUUGAUGAGAUGAGACAGACAGAGUUAAAUCCAUCAAAAUCACAAUGUCUGAUUGUUGCAAAGAAGAUUGUUAAACAGUACCCACAAAGCUUUGCUGAUGUUUUGAAAGAUGGCACAAGAAUUGGGACUGGCUAUGGAUCCCUUUUGAUACAGCUAAAAACAAGAGUGGAGCAUGUUAAUCGUGGCUGCUCAUUUUCGAGACGCAGGAAACAAAAAAAGACC
ensembl:processed_transcript